GACGAACGCUGGCGGCGUGCUUAACACAUGCAAGUCGUACGGAAAGGCCCUUUUUGUGUUAGGCGCUCGAGUGGCGAGCGGGUAAGUAACACGUGACCAGCCCGCCCUUGUCUGUGGGCUCACUUCAAGUAGCUGGGACAAUUACCGGGUAGUACCUCCUGCUGCAGGGUGGUGGUUGGCUAGUUUCGGUGGUUGGGGAUGGACUCGCGGCUUAUCUGCUUGUUGGUGGGGUAGUGGCUUACCAAGGCGUUGGCGGGUAGCCGGCCGGGGAGGGUGACCGGCCAAAUGGGGACUGGGUUACGGCCCAGACUCCUACGGGAGGCAGCGGGGGGGAAUAUGGAACAAGGGGGGGAAGCCGGAGGCAGCAACGCCGCGGGCGGGAGGCCGGCCUUCGGGUUGUAAACCGCUUUCGCCGGUGACGAAGCGUGAGUGACGGUACUGGGAAAAGAAGCACCGGCUAACUACGUG
rnacentral:rRNA from 1 species